CUCAAAUGCGCAGUGCUCUCUCCUCCACUCAGCGGUGUGUGCAUUUUCAGGAUAAAAAGGAGGCCUGACUUCAAAAGAUCUCGAGUCCGUAAACCAAAGAAAAUGGCAUAGAGAGGAAGAGAUAACAAAGAGACGUUCAAAAGGCGUAAGGGACCUAUGCAGGGACUCCUUGGCCUCCUGCCGGAUCUUUGUGCCUUGUGAAAGCGUUCCCUGUUGUUCCAGUGUUACCCUGCCUGUUGCCGACCUGUUGCCCAUGACUACUGCCUUAGAACCUGUGCUGCCUGCCCUGACCAUUGCUACGUCUGACUACGCUUCUGCCUAUCCCUCCUGUAUCACGUCUAUCUCAGGAACCAGAGGAGUUGAGUCGCUACCGGGUGGAACGACCUGGGGAUUACUGCCACAGCAAGACCAUCCCGCUUUGCGGCGGGCUCUGGUGAAAACCAUUUUUUUUACAUUCAUUAAAAAAAAUUAUGAGAUAUAUAUUUUCCUGCCCUGGACUAACAUUAACCCUUCCCUAGAAUAUAAGGCAUUAACCAUUAGGCCA